rnacentral:rRNA from 1 species
GGUAAACGCUGGCGGCGUGCCUAAAACAUGCAAGUCGAACGGGCAGUCUUCGGAUUGUCAGUGGCAGACGGCUGAGUAACGCGUGGGUGACGUACCUAUCGGUGGGGAAUAACUGCCCGAAAGGGUGGCUAAUACCGCAUACGUCCACUUCUUCGUUGGAGUGGGGAAAACCUUGUAAAAGGUGCCGAUGGAGCGGCCCGCGUUCGAUUAGCUGGUUGGUGGGGUAACGGCCUACCAAGGCGACGAUCGAUAGCUGGUCUCAGAGGAUGA